GAUGAACGCUGGCGGCGUGCCUAAUACAUGCAAGUCGAGCGAACGGACGAGAAGCUUGCUUCUCUGAUGUUAGCGGCGGACGGGUGAGUAACGCGUGGAUAACCUACCUAUAAGACUGGGAUAACUUCGGGAAACCGGAGCUAAUACCGGAUAAUAUUUUGAACCGCAUGGUUCAAAAGUGAAAGGCGGUCUUGCUGUCACUUAUAGAUGGAUCCGCGCUGCAUUAGCUAGUUGGUAAGGUAACGGCUUACCAAGGCAACGAUGCAUAGCCGACCUGAGAGGGUGAUCGGCCACACUGGAACUGAGACACGGUCCAGACUCCUACGGGAGGCAGCAGUAGGGAAUCUUCCGCAAAGGGCGAAAGCCUGACGGAGCAACGCCGCGUGAGUGAUGAAGGUCUUCGGAUCGUAAAACUCUGUUAUUAGGGAAGAACAUAUGUGUAAGUAACUGUGCACAUCUUGACGGUACCUAAUCAGAAAGCCACGGCUAACUACGUG
rnacentral:rRNA from 1 species